CCAAGCUAAUAAGAGCCAACGGUGGAUGCCUUGGCGCCUACUACCGAUGAAAGACGUGUCUGGCUGCGAUAAGCCACGGGGAGCUGCCUAGAGAGCUUCGAUCCGUGGAUGUCUGAAUGGGGAAACCCAACACCCGUCAUGGGGUGUUACUCCGGUGUGAACACAUAGCACCGGUAGAGGGAACCGGGUGAACUGAAACAUCUCAGUAACCCGAGGAAAAGAAAGCAAAUGCGACUCCCUGAGUAGCGGCGAGCGAAAUGGGAUCAGCCUAAACCGACCUGGUGUCAAGCCUGAUGGCGUUGCCAGUUCGGGGUCGUGGGAACACAUGGACAGAGCAUCAGAUCUGUCACGGAGUUACCAAUCUGUCGUGUAACGGAAGCGUUCUGGAAAGGCGCGCCACAGAAGGUAAUGGCCCUGUACGUGAAACAUGAACAGACUCCGAUGUUGUCUCCCAAGUAGCGCCGGAUCCGGGAAAGCCGGCGUGAAUCUGCGAGGACCACCUCGUAAGGCUAAGUAUACGUAGGCGACCGAUAGUGAACUAGUACCGUGAGGGAAAGGUGAAAAGUACCCCGGGAGGGGAGUGAAAUAGUACCUGAAACCGUUGGUUUACAAUCAGUCAGAGUGUCGCCACUGGACUUCGGUCCUUUGGUCACGAUGGCGUGCCUUUUGAAGAAUGAGUCAGCGAGUUACGGUGUGUGGCAAGGUUAACCAGUGAUGGGAAGCCGGAGCGAAAGCGAGUCUGAACAGGGCGUUCAGUCGCAUACUGUAGACCCGAAGCCGUGUGAUCUAUCCAUGGGCAGGGUGAAGCGGAGGUAAGACUCCGUGGAGGCCCGAACCCACUUAGGUUGAAAACUGAGGGGAUGACCUGUGGAUAGGGGUGAAAGGCCAAUCAAACACGGUGAUAGCUGGUUCUCCCCGAAAUGCAUUUAGGUGCAGCGUCAGAUGUUCAGCAAUGGAGGUAGAGCACUGGAUGGGCUAGGGGCCCUACAAGGUUACUGACCCCAACCAAACUCCGAAUGCCAUUGCUCCAGAAUCUGGCAGUGAGACCAUGGGGGAUGAGCUUCAUGGUCGAGAGGGAAACAGCCCAGACCGCCGGCUAAGGCCCCAAAUUCCAUGCUAAGUGGUAAACGAUGUGGGAUUGCACAGACAGCCAGGAUGUUGGCUUAGAAGCAGCCAUCAUUGAAAGAGUGCGUAAUAGCUCACUGGUCGAGUGAUCCUGCGCGGACAAUGUAACGGGGCUCAAGCAUGGAGCCGAAGCCGCGGAUUCGUACCUAGUACGAGUGGUAGGGGAGCGUCGAUCUCGGAGCGAAGCGUCGGUGUGAACCGGCGUGGACCGUGGUCGAGUGAGAAUGCUGAUAUGAGUAGCGAAAGAGGGGUGUGAAACCCCUCCGCCGAAUGUCCAAGGGUUCCUGGGGAAGGCUAAUCCUCCCAGGGUAAGUCGGGAGCUAAGGCGAGGCCGAAAGGCGUAGUCGAUGCACAACCGGUUGAUAUUCCGGUACCACUGUGAACGCGCCCAAGCCAAGCAGCAGUCGCUAGGGGCUGUCUACCUUCGGGUAGACGAACCGAACCGAUAGCUGGGCGGCUAGCAAUGAGGGGACGCAGGAAGGUAGGUGAACCCAGGCGAUGGUUGUCCUGGGGUAAGCGUGUAGGGAGAGGUCCAGGUAAAUCCGGCCCUCAUCAUCCUGAGACGUGAAACCGAGCCGCUUCAGGCGAAGUCACUGAUCCUAUGCUGCCAAGAAAAGCCUCUAGCGAGCUUUCACGGUGCCCGUACCCCAAACCAACUCAGGUGGACAGGUAGAGAAUACCAAGGCGAUCGGGUGAACUAUGGUUAAGGAACUCGGCAAAAUACCUCCGUAACUUCGGGAGAAGGAGGGCCCCAACAGGUGAUGGACUUCGCGUCCUGAGCUCGAGGGGGCCGCAGAGACCAGGGGAUAGCGACUGUUUACUAAAAACACAGCAGCGUGCUAAGCCGUAAGGCGCUGUAUACGCUGUGACGCCUGCCCGGUGCCGGAAGGUUACGGGGAAGGGUUAGUCCUUCGGGACGAAGCUCUGAACCUAAGCCCCGGUAAACGGCGGCCGUAACUAUAACGGUCCUAAGGUAGCGAAAUUCCUUGUCGGGUAAGUUCCGACC
rnacentral:rRNA from 1 species